rnacentral:rRNA from 1 species
GACAGAGGGUGCAAACGUUGUUCGGAAUUACUGGGCGUAAAGCGCGUGUAGGCGGCCCUGCAAGUCGGAUGUGAAAUCCCACGGCUCAACCGUGGAAGUGCAUUCGAAACUGCAGGGCUAGAGUCCUGGAGAGGAAGGUGGAAUGCUUGGUGUAGAGGUGAAAUGCGUAGAUAUCUGGAGGAACACCGGUGGCGAAGGCGGCAUCCUGGACCGGCAUUGACGCUGAGGAGCGAAAGCCAGGGGAGCAAACGGG